rnacentral:rRNA from 1 species
GAUGAACGCUGGCGGCGUGCUUAACACAUGCAAGUCGAACGAUGAAGCCCAGCUUGCUGGGUGGAUUAGUGGCGAACGGGUGAGUAACACGUGAUUAACCUGCCCUUGACUCUGGGAUAAGCCUGGGAAACUGGGUCUAAUACUGGAUAUGACUUCUCAUCGCAUGGUGGGGGUUGGAAAGAUUUAUUGGUCUUGGAUGGACUCGCGGCCUAUCAGCUUGUUGGUGAGGUAAUGGCUCACCAAGGCGACGACGGGUAGCCGGCCUGAGAGGGUGACCGGCCACACUGGGACUGAGACACGGCCCAGACUCCUACGGGAGGCAGCAGUGGGGAAUAUUGCACAAUGGGCGCAAGCCUGAUGCAGCGACGCCGCGUGAGGGAUGACGGCCUUCGGGUUGUAAACCUCUUUCAGUAGGGAAGAAGCGAGAGUGACGGUACCUGCAGAAGAAGCGCCGGCUAACUACGUG